rnacentral:misc_RNA from 1 species
UGGCUAGAUUAGCAUGUGCACGUCUCUCGCCUUUUCAUCUAACCUUUCUCUUUCUCUCACACCUGUGCACCUGUCGUAGGCCCUCGAAAGAGGAUCUAUGUUUUUUCACAUCACACCUGAUUUGCAUGGCCAUAGAAUGUGUCAUAAUGAAAUAAAUACAACUUUCAGCAACGGAUCUCUUGGCUCUCGCAUCGAUGAAGAACGCAGCGAAUUGCGAUAAGUAAUGUGAAUUGCAGAUUUUCAGUGAAUCAUCGAAUCUUUGAACGCACCUUGCGCUCCUUGGUAUUCCGAGGAGCAUGCCUGUUUGAGUGUCAUUGAAUUCUCAACCAUGCCUUUAUUGGAGGGCAUGGCUUGGAGUUUGGGAGGUUGCUGGCGUCGAAGGACGGUCGGCUCUCCUGAAAUGUAUUAGUGAUGGACAAGCAGGUCUUUCGACGUGCACGGCCUCCCGACGUGAUAAUGAUCGUCGUGGCUGGAGCGUCAGACAUCGAC